rnacentral:tRNA from 1 species
GCGCCCGUAGCUCAGCUGGAUAGAGUACUGCCCUCCGAAGGCAGGGGUCGGGGGUUCGAAUCUCUCCGGGCGCACCA